CGGACGGGUGAGUAAUGUCUGGGAAACUGCCUGAUGGAGGGGGAGAACUACUGGAAACGGUAGCUAAUACCGCAUAACGUCGCAAGACCAAAGAGGGGGACCUUAGGGCCUUCUUGCCAUCGGAUGUGCCCAGAUGGGAUUAGCUAGUAGGUGGGGUAACGGCUCACCUAGGCGACGAUCCCUAGCUGGUCUGAGAGGAUGACCAGCCACACUGGAACUGAGACACGGUCCAG
rnacentral:rRNA from 1 species